rnacentral:rRNA from 1 species
GACGUAGGGGGCAAGUGUUGUUCGGAAUUAUUGGGCGUAAAGCGCACGUAGGCGGCUUUCUAAGUCAGGGGUGAAAUCCUGGAGCUCAACUCCAGAACUGCCUUUGAUACUGGAGAGCUAGAGUCCGGAAGAGGUGAGUGGAACUGCGAGUGUAGAGGUGAAAUUCGUAGAUAUUCGCAAGAACACCAGUGGCGAAGGCGGCUCACUGGUCCGGUACUGACGCUGAGGUGCGAAAGCGUGGGGAGCAAACAGG